rnacentral:rRNA from 1 species
GCAGUCGAGCGAACAGAUAAGGAGCUUGCUCCUUUGACGUUAGCGGCGGACGGGUGAGUAACACGUGGAUAACCUACCUAUAAGACUGGGAUAACUUCGGGAAACCGGAGCUAAUACCGGAUAACAUAUUGAACCGCAUGGUUCAAUAGUGAAAGGCGGCUUUGCUGUCACUUAUAGAUGGAUCCGCGCCGUAUUAGCUAGUUGGUAAGGUAACGGCUUACCAAGGCAACGAUACGUAGCCGACCUGAGAGGGUGAUCGGCCACACUGGAACUGAGACACGGUCCAGACUCCUACGGGAGGCAGCAGUAGGGAAUCUUCCGCAAUGGGCGAAAGCCUGACGGAGCAACGCCGCGUGAGUGAUGAAGGUCUUCGGAUCGUAAAACUCUGUUAUCAGGGAAGAACAAAUGUGUAAGUAACUGUGCACAUCUUGACGGUACCUGAUCAGAAAGCCACGGCUAACUACGUGCCAGCAGCCGCGGUAAUACGUAGGUGGCAAGCGUUAUCCGGAAUUAUUGGGCGUAAAGCGCGCGUAGGCGGUUUUUUAAGUCUGAUGUGAAAGCCCACGGCUCAACCGUGGAGGGUCAUUGGAAACUGGAAAACUUGAGUGCAGAAGAGGAAAGUGGAAUUCCAUGUGUAGCGGUGAAAUGCGCAGAGAUAUGGAGGAACACCAGUGGCGAAGGCGACUUUCUGGUCUGUAACUGACGCUGAUGUGCGAAAGCGUGGGGAUCAAACAGGAUUAGAUACCCUGGUAGUCCACCGCCGUAAACGAUGAGUGCUAAGUGUUAAGGGGGUUUCCGCCCCUUAGUGCUGCAGCUAACGCAUUAAAGCACUCCCGCCUGGGGGAGUACGACCGGCCAAGGUUGAAACUCCAAAGGAAUUUGACGGGGAACCCGCCACAAGCGGGUGGAGCCAUGUGGGUUUAAUUCCGGAAGCAACGCGAAGGAAACCUUAACCAAAUCUUGACAUCCCUUUUGACCCGCUCUAGAGAUAGAGUCUUCCCCUUCGGGGGACAAAGUGACAGGUGGUGCAUGGUUGUCGUCAGCUCGUGUCGUGAGAUGUUGGGUUAAGUCCCGCAACGAGCGCAACCCUUAAGCUUAGUUGCCAUCAUUAAGUUGGGCACUCUAAGUUGACUGCCGGUGACAAACCGGAGGAAGGUGGGGAUGACGUCAAAUCAUCAUGCCCCUUAUGAUUUGGGCUACACACGUGCUACAAUGGACAAUACAAAGGGCAGCUAAACCGCGAGGUCAAGCAAAUCCCAUAAAGUUGUUCUCAGUUCGGAUUGUAGUCUGCAACUCGACUACAUGAAGCUGGAAUCGCUAGUAAUCGUAGAUCAGCAUGCUACGGUGAAUACGUUCCCGGGUCUUGUACACACCGCCCGUCACACCACGAGAGUUUGUAACACCCGAAGCCGGUGGAGUAAC